GCACGCGAAUGUAGACGCGGUUUGUGAACACGUACGCGCGUGCCCGCGCGCGAGAUGCGACUUGAGUGAGAAGAGAUCUCAGAAGAGGUUACUGGGCGAGGCUAAUGAAUUUAUAGAAAACAGAGGAUGCACAUGGAGAGCAACACAGGUGUGAUUCCCUGGCUGAUUCUUGGGGCCCAGCACUUAACAGGGAUUGUUGGACACAUAAAAUUGUUUGGGUGGAAUCACAGAGCAUGAGGGACAUCUUGGAUGGAAUUUCCACUAAGCCUUUGCUCGCAGACAUUUUCCCAAAGUUUUAAGAGGAAAGUUCUAGGGUUUGGCAUCAACCAGUUGCUGUGUGAUCUCUUCUAUUACAACUCCAACAA